UACGUAGGUGGCAAGCGUUGUCCGGAAUUAUUGGGCGUAAAGCGCGCGCAGGCGGUCCUUUAAGUCUGAUGUGAAAGCCCACGGCUCAACCGUGGAGGGUCAUUGGAAACUGGGGGACUGAGUGCAGAAGAGGAAAGUGGAAUUCCACGUGUAGCGGUGAAAUGCGUAGAGAUGUGGAGGAACACCAGUGGCGAAGGCGGCUUUCUGGUCUGAUAACUGACGCUGAGGCGCGAAAGCGUGGGGAGCAAACAGG
rnacentral:rRNA from 1 species